rnacentral:rRNA from 1 species
AUACGUAGGUGGCGAGCGUUAUCCGGAAUUACUGGGUGUAAAGGGUGUGUAGGCGGGGAUGCAAGUCAGAUGUGAAAACCAUGGGCUCAACCCAUGAUGUGCAUUUGAAACUGCGUUUCUUGAGUGUGGGAGAGGUAAGCGGAAUUCCUAGUGUAGCGGUGAAAUGCGUAGAUAUUAGGAGGAACACCAGUGGCGAAGGCGGCUUACUGGACCACAACUGACGCUGAGACACGAAAGCGUGGGGAGC